GAAAGUCCCUCCAACAUAACAUACAUCCCGUGAGCUCCAUAUUGCUCCCAAAUUAUCCAGAGAGAUGAACAAAAAAAGAACACACUUCGCAAACAAUCUCCACAGAGGAAGAAGACAUCGAGAUUUUCCGAGAGGCACGUUCAUGCCGCUUCCAUAUAGACGUGUGUACGGACGACAGAGCCGACUGGAGAGUGAGAGAAAGUGGUCCAAUGAUAGGCCUACUUUACAUGCUCAACAGAUCCGGCCUUAUAAUCAGCAAGAAUUGCCAACAAACAGAGGUCAUGGCUCGAAUGUCAAGACACUUUUGAAUAUAAUUAUAAAG
rnacentral:lncRNA from 1 species